rnacentral:rRNA from 1 species
GAUGAACGCUGGCGGCGUGCCUAAUACAUGCAAGUCGAACGCACAGCGAAAGGUGCUUGCACCUUUCAAGUGAGUGGCGAACGGGUGAGUAACACGUGGACAACCUGCCUCAAGGCUGGGGAUAACAUUUGGAAACAGAUGCUAAUACCGAAUAAAACUUAGUGUCGCAUGACACAAAGUUAAAAGGCGCUUCGGCGUCACCUAGAGAUGGAUCCGCGGUGCAUUAGUUAGUUGGUGGGGUAAAGGCCUACCAAGACAAUGAUGCAUAGCCGAGUUGAGAGACUGAUCGGCCACAUUGGGACUGAGACACGGCCCAAACUCCUACGGGAGGCUGCAGUAGGGAAUCUUCCACAAUGGGCGAAAGCCUGAUGGAGCAACGCCGCGUGUGUGAUGAAGGCUUUCGGGUCGUAAAGCACUGUUGUAUGGGAAGAACAGCUAGAAUAGGAAAUGAUUUUAGUUUGACGGUACCAUACCAGAAAGGGACGGCUAAAUACGUGCCAGCAGCCGCGGUAAUACGUAUGUCCCGAGCGUUAUCCGGAUUUAUUGGGCGUAAAGCGAGCGCAGACGGUUUAUUAAGUCUGAUGUGAAAGCCCGGAGCUCAACUCCGGAAUGGCAUUGGAAACUGGUUAACUUGAGUGCAGUAGAGGUAAGUGGAACUCCAUGUGUAGCGGUGGAAUGCGUAGAUAUAUGGAAGAACACCAGUGGCGAAGGCGGCUUACUGGACUGCAACUGACGUUGAGGCUCGAAAGUGUGGGUAGCAAACAGGAUUAGAUACCCUGGUAGUCCACACCGUAAACGAUGAACACUAGGUGUUAGGAGGUUUCCGCCUCUUAGUGCCGAAGCUAACGCAUUAAGUGUUCCGCCUGGGGAGUACGACCGCAAGGUUGAAACUCAAAGGAAUUGACGGGGACCCGCACAAGCGGUGGAGCAUGUGGUUUAAUUCGAAGCAACGCGAAGAACCUUACCAGGUCUUGACAUCCUUUGAAGCUUUUAGAGAUAGAAGUGUUCUCUUCGGAGACAAAGUGACAGGUGGUGCAUGGUCGUCGUCAGCUCGUGUCGUGAGAUGUUGGGUUAAGUCCCGCAACGAGCGCAACCCUUAUUGUUAGUUGCCUGCAUUCAGAUGGGCACUCUAGCGAGACUGCCGGUGACAAACCGGAGGAAGGCGGGGACGACGUCAGAUCAUCAUGCCCCUUAUGACCUGGGCUACACACGUGCUACAAUGGCGUAUACAACGAGUUGCCAACCCGCGAGGGUGAGCUAAUCUCUUAAAGUACGUCUCAGUUCGGAUUGUAGUCUGCAACUCGACUACAUGAAGUCGGAAUCGCUAGUAAUCGCGGAUCAGCACGCCGCGGUGAAUACGUUCCCGGGUCUUGUACACACCGCCCGUCACACCAUGGGAGUUUGUAAUGCCCAAAGCCGGUGGCCUAACCUUUUAGGAAGGAGCCGUCUAAGGCAGGACAGAUGACUGGGGUG